UACGAAGGGGCGAGCGUUGUUCGGAGUUAUUGGGCGUAAAGAGCUCGUAGGCGGCUUGUCGCGUCAACUGUGAAACCCGUGGCUCACCAUGUGGUCUGCAGUCGAUACGGGCAGGCUAGAAUUCGGUAGGGGAGACUGGAAUUCCUGGUGUAGCGGUGAAAUGCGCAGAUAUCAGGAGGAACAGCCGGUGGCGAAGGCGGGUCUCUGGGCCGAUACUGACGCUGAGGAGCGAAAGCGUGGGGAGCGAACAGG
rnacentral:rRNA from 1 species